UCGUUUUCUUAUUUACAUGCAAUGAAUCGGUCCAAAUCAAACCCUUCAAGUGCAUUUUUCUUCCUUGAUUUUAGGGUUUUUUACGAUCUUGCUCCUCAACUAUUUGUAUGUUGUCAAUUUAACUCCUUAACAAAUUUUUCGAUAAAUCAAGGACUCUAAUUGUUUUAAAAUCACCAAUUGAGGGCUUAUCAUCAAUUUUUUAAGGGUAAAAUCGCCAUUUAAAAACAAUUAAAAAAUAAAAAAUAAAAACCUUACCUACCUAAAAUUAAACAUUUAAUUUUUUUUUUAAAAUUAGCAUUUAAAAUUUAAAGAAAAGAAAUAUUUAACAUUUAAAAUUAAAAAAAAAUCAACUCAACCUCAACCUCCCCUUCCCCUCCCCUAUCCUUCCCCUUCCGUCUCCCCUCUCUUCCUCCCCUUCCCC
rnacentral:lncRNA from 1 species